rnacentral:rRNA from 1 species
UACGUAGGGUGCAAGCGUUAAUCGGAAUCACUGGGCGUAAAGGGCGCGUAGGCGGCUGGGGAAGUCGGCGGUGAAAGCCCGGAGCUCAACUCCGGGUCGGCCGUCGAGACUCCUCGGCUCGAGCUCACUAGAGGCAGAUGGAAUUCCGGGUGUAGCGGUGGAAUGCGUAGAGAUCCGGAAGAACACCGGUGGCGAAGGCGGUCUGCUGGGGGUGAGGCUGACGCUGAGGCGCGACAGCGUGGGGAGCAAACAGG